rnacentral:rRNA from 1 species
GACGGGGCCCGCACAAGCGGUGGAGCAUGUGGUUUAAUUCGACGCAACGCGAAGAACCUUACCUGGGCUUGACAUCCCGAUCGCACCUUAUGGAAACAUAGGGGUCAGUUCGGCUGGAUCGGUGACAGGUGCUGCAUGGCUGUCGUCAGCUCGUGUCGUGAGAUGUUGAGUUAAGUCCCGCAACGAGCGCAACCCUUGCCCUUAGUUGCCAGCAUUCAGUUGGGCACUCUAAGGAGACUGCCGGUGUCAAACCGGAGGAAGUGGGGAUGACGUCAAGUCCUCAUGGCCUUUAUGACCAGGGCUACACACGUACUACAAUGGCCGGUACAAAGGGCAGCGACACAGCGAUGUGAAGCCAAUCCCGAAAAGCCGGUCUCAGUCCGGAUUGGAGUCUGCAACUCGACUCCAUGAAGUUGGAAUCGCUAGUAAUCGCGGAUCAGCACGCCGCGGUGAAUACGUUCCCGGGCCUU